rnacentral:rRNA from 1 species
AGCGAACGCUGGCGGCAGGCCUAACACAUGCAAGUCGAACGAACCUUUCGGGGUUAGUGGCGGACGGGUGAGUAACACGUGGGAACGUGCCUUUAGGUUCGGAAUAACUCAGGGAAACUUGUGCUAAUACCGAAUGUGCCCUUCGGGGGAAAGAUUUAUCGCCUUUAGAGCGGCCCGCGUCUGAUUAGCUAGUUGGUUGAGGUAAUGGCUCACCAAGGCGACGAUCAGUAGCUGGUCUGAGAGGAUGAUCAGCCACAUUGGGACUGAGACACGGCCCAAACUCCUACGGGAGGCAGCAGUGGGGAAUCUUGCGCAAUGGGCGAAAGCCUGACGCAGCCAUGCCGCGUGAAUGAUGAAGGUCUUAGGAUUAUAAAAUUCUUUCACCGGGGACGAUAAUGACGGUACCCGGAGAAGAAGCCCCGGCUAACUUCGUG